rnacentral:rRNA from 1 species
CCUACGGGUGGCAGCAGUGGGGAAUCUUCCGCAAUGGGCGAAAGCCUGACGGAGCAACGCCGCGUGAUCGAAUGAAGGCCUUCGGGUUGUAAAGAUCUGUUGACAGGGACGAAUAAGCAAUGCGAAUAGUUUUGUGUAUGACGGUACCUGUUUAGAAAGCUCCGGCUAAAUACGUGCCAGCAGCCUCGGUAAUACGUAGGGAGCAAGCGUUGUGCGGAAUGACUGGGCGUAAAGGGCGCGUAGGUGGGCGCUUAAGUCAGGUGUGAAAACUCCGGGCUCAACCUGAAGACUGCACUUGAAACUGGGUGUGUUGAGUGCAGGAGAGGAAAGUGGAAUUCGUGGUGUAGCGGUGAAAGGCGUAGAUAGUAGGAGGAAGGCC